AUCAUAUCUCAGCCUUUUAGCUAAUAUGAAGUUUUGUAUCUAUUCUUAACCAGUUUACUAUCUGACAUGUCCUUUAUCUGAAGAAAAUGUACUAAAUGAAUUUUUUUAAGCAAGGAGAUGGAAUAGUUGAUUCUGUCCAUUCCUUGCAUUAAUCUGGUAUUAUGAAACCCCUAGGAAUUAAUUCCUUUGGG